rnacentral:other from 1 species
CGGGCACUGCCUUGUACGAGCCCAUAUUUCCCUGAGGCGAUUCACUCUCCUAGGGGGCUGUCUCUGGUCGGAUCCUGGUCCGAACUACAUGGUCCCCACCUGAUGUACUUGGCAUCAGAGGACUUUCAGGCAAACGGCUAUGGUGGUCCCGCC